UCACUUCAAUGAGAGCAGGAGCUUUCAUAUGCUGAGAGAGAAUCAGGGAACUUAUGUCAAAGCUUUCUGUUCCAGAUGCUACCUCUGGCCAACAAACUGUAACAUCCAGUGCUCAUACAGACAUUUAGGCGUUUAUACAGAGAUGAAGCAGUUCCAACAGAACUCCAGGAGGAACCCACCAAGUCAAGUACAUGAUGACUGUAAAAAUUGCUGGUGUCCAGAAAGCCGUGGUUUCAGCAGUUCUGGAUCAUGCUGAGUGAAAGCUGCUGCCCUCUCCUGGAAGGAAUGCCAGAGCUCUGGGUAUGAUACUGGAGAGAUCAAGCAGUAAGCCAAGAAGCAAAGCUGGGGCAUCUUGAAGAGUUAACCUGAAGUUCAUCUGGGAAAUGAUCUCACUUUUACAGAGUGGAGCACCCACAGAUGCCUGUCCUUUACAUAAGGAAUAGGGAGCAUCCUCUUGCAGGUGAUGUGAAACCUGGCUUUGGAAGUGGAAAGCUGUUACAGUAUUUAUCAAAAGAAGGAAAAUGGGAGCAAUGUUAGAGAGUUCUACUUUCAGUCCAAAACAUUUUCUACAAGUCUCUGUUUUGUUGUGAUGUUUUCUUGCCUGUUUCUUUUCUCUGUGUUUUAGUCUCACUGUAAAACUGGUUGAACUAUACAUUAUAGCCCAGACUUUCUGUGCCUGACAGGCAAUUCCACAUCUCUCUCCCGCUACGGACCAUCUAAUUUAGAGGGAUGGUGGGCAGAAGUGACUGCUGCAAGAUGACACUAAUUUGAAGGUCCUACAAGGGUCACCAGUUGUGACCAAAGACUUGUGAAGUUUUGUAGGUUUUGAGGAACAAAACAAUAGAAGCUCCAAAGUGUGUUUUUGCUUUCCCUCUCCUGACUUCAUUUACUUGCUCAUUAAAUUCUGAAGCAUGUAGCUACACCCAUACAAAAUUACUACAUUUCGUAACCUUUAAUUGAUUUGCGUAUUUAUGGGGAAACUGGUAUUUCGGGACUAUCCAACUGUGCCAUCACUAUCACCUUUCCAUGGGUCUCUGUGUGCUUGGUUGCUACAAAGAAAUCCUGAUGUAUGUCUGCCUGGCACACACCUGGAAGCUCCGUGGGUAGAAUUCUUCACUGCAGGUUACUAAUACUGAAAUCAGGAGAGCCCUUAUUUGUAGAUGGGGCAGAUAUUCAUUGCAGCAUGCCUUGCUCUGUUUGCUUAGGUUGGGUGUUGGUAUUCCAGCCAAGAUUUUGAAACACAUCAGUGUGCUGCAUGCUGUUAAUGAUGUUCCUUUUCCAUACCAUUAGGAAAGGCAGAGACACUGCUGGCAUGGACAGGUAUGAAAACAGUUACUGACGUGGGUCUAAUUGCUCCCUCUGGGAUUUUCAGCAGUUGUAAAUCCAGAGAUGCAGUCCAUGUAUGUGUGAACUGAGAAGAAGGUGAGGGUCCUCACAACUCCAUGUCUGUCUCAAGAGCACUAUGGCUGAAAAUCCACUUCAGUGGACCCAGCCACAGAACUGCAGGAUGGUUUCUUGCCAUACACAGCUGUGUGUGACAAGGCAUUUCUGCUUCACUCACUUUGUUGAUCGCAUUUUAAACUUUUCCUCCUAAUUGUUGAGGCUGGAAAGCCUUGCAGAUAAUAUGUAGACCAUGAAGAGUGAUCAUUCAGUGUCUUUUCUAUAUCUAAUGUCCCUGUGGUUCUGGUCUUGGUUACACAGGUCAUCCUGCUGGCAUGAAUACUAUUGCUUCAGGCUUGAGUGUUGCAAGUACAAAUCUUACCCUAAAUAAAUAGUGAUGGAGAAUAGCCAGGACAAGCACCAUCUGACGCAGAGCACUGAGUUGCUGGGUUAUAUAUCUCUAAACUGAGGAGUCAGCUCCAGCUGCAGCUGAGAGCUCUGCAGUGGCUCAAAGGGGAUGGUGAGAAUUUGCUAGUGACCCACCAAAGCCAUCUUCAAAAAGCCUAGUGUUCCCAGGGAGAAUGUAGUCACAGUCCUGUGCCCUGUUACCAGCAGGCAUUUAGAAGACAGUGAAGGCUUGCAUAGGGCAAAUGCAGCAUGUUGGGUGAUAACUACAUAAUGGUAGUGGGCCUGACCAUGGCUCCAAAUGUCAGCUUUGGGAACUGGUGUCCAGCCACACUGCAGCAUUGGCAGGCCAACCAGAGCAGGCAGGAGGCUAGCCAAGGAGCUGAGGCUGCAUGACACAGCAGUGAGGAGAAGCAGCUGCAGCCCAGAGGCACCUGAGGUCAUUUUGUGGAGACCGAGAUUUACUGAGGCUUUCACAUGAGGCUGGUUUGGAACAAGCUAAGGGCAGUACAUGACCGUAACAUGACCUGCCCUUCUUAACCCAAGAGACUGAAUCCUUAUUAAAUUUUCUAGGUCUGGUGGAAAACACUGUUCUUCAGGGGCUAGAGCUUGUGCAAGGUUGCUUUGUGGAUGGCCAUUGCACAAAAAGGAAUCAUUUAUGAAACACCCUGCCCAUGGGUGUUGAAAAAAGGUGUUUGCCUGAAGUGGUUUGUGGCACCACAGCUGGAGUUAUCAGAUGGGGAUGUGCUCACAGACACUAACUCAACAAAAUGG